UGUGCUGCCCUGAGGAUGAAUGAAUAUAUACUUAUUAGUAAGAUACCCUAACAAUGAAAGUCCAGCUUUCCAGCCAUGAGGAGUUAAAAUGGACAUGCCUUUCCAAAAGAGUUAGCAAUUUUGGGGUUGUGUCCUUGCCCCCUCCCUCCAGCUUUGCUGUGACCCCAGCAGAGACAUUUUUGCAUGGCUUGAUUUCUUCUGUUUCCAAAUAAUUGUUUGGUAAUUACCUGUUGCUGGUGAAUGUUUGCUAAUAAUUAGCACAGUGGUAACUAGGAGAACACUUCCUGCCUGUAAGCAUUGCACCAGAGCACUGAUAUCAACAUGCACCAAGGAGCAGAUUUAUGCCACAGAAGAUUUCCCAGGCAGCAGUGGCAUGGUGGCUGGAGGAGCACAGAGGAAUGAAGGAAGCUACACUACAGUACAAAGAUCUGAGCCUACCCUCACACUAAUACCUACUUUCACUGAAGAUACUCUACAACACAUCAAGAGCAGGUGCAGACACAGUGUGAGUGAGAAGGAAAAGAAACAGCAUCACUAUCCUGGGUGUGGCUGUCUGCUAGAGCCAGGAUCAGUGUGGAGAUACUUGGACACAGGUUACCAAAA